CCAUAGAAAUGAGUAGGUUCUUCACAGGAAGUUUAUUUAUUUUGUGACCAACCAUCUUUUCAAAGAAACUCCUCUUUAUAUGAAGAAUGAAACACUUACCCCACCAACUCCAGUUGUGGUGCCAGCCAUGAUCAUCUCCAUUGUGCACUUGUUGUUUACAACGGAUGGGAGGAAACAGCAGUCGCUCUUCAGAGUCUCAGGCUCUUCCUCUCCACCUUGGUGACCCCCAAAUGGUGACCACGCCAUCCAGUUUCUAUCUUCACAGCCUACCCAUCAGGUUGUACACUGGGUCCAACUGCAAACAGAUAAAGGCAACUCAAGAUGAACUGAUGCCAGAUUCUCGGUGGAGAUUUCCAGCUGUUUACCAGAUGGAGGGGUGACGCGCGAUCAUUGGGAGAGAAUGAAGUGUUCUGUCUGCCUCAUGUGUCUCUGGAUGUGGGAAUGAUUAAGUCUAAAUUCUAAAGGUUGAUUUCACAACCUUCCAUGCUUCUAGUAUGGAGAACAACUGGGAAAGGGUGAUUUUGUCAUGUGUGAACUUGCAUUCAAUUAAACUGAAACAUUUAGCAUGCAUACUCGCAAACUGUUGGCUAACAUUUUACAAAUGCCAUUCCUUGCCAGAAAGCACCUGCCACAGAAAUUAAUCCAAUACAGAAAAUCAGUGGGGAACUAGUAGAUUUAAGAAGAUAAUGUCAGUAUAUGCAAACUUUUUUU